UACGUAGGCAGCAAGCGUUGUUCGGAAUUACUGGGCGUAAAGAGUGUGUAGGCGGUUUUCUAAGUUCGGUGUGAAAUCUCCCGGCUUAACUGGGAGGGUGCGCCGAAAACUGGAAGGCUUGAGUGCCGGAGAGGAUAGCGGAAUUCCCAGUGUAGAGGUGAAAUUCGUAGAUAUUGGGAAGAACACCGGUGGCGAAGGCGGCGCUCUGGACCGAGACUGACGCUGAGGCACGAAAGCUAGGGGAGCAAACAGG
rnacentral:rRNA from 1 species